GACGAACGCUGGCGGCGUGCUUAACACAUGCAAGUCGAACGGUAAGGCCCUUCGGGGUACACGAGUGGCGAACGGGUGAGUAACACGUGGGUGAUCUGCCCUGCACUUCGGGAUAAGCCUGGGAAACUGGGUCUAAUACCGGAUAGGACCACUGCCUGCAUGGGUGGUGGUGGAAAGCUUUUGCGGUGUGGGAUGGGCCCGCGGCCUAUCAGCUUGUUGGUGGGGUGAUGGCCUACCGAGGCGACGACGGGUAGCCGGCCUGAGAGGGUGACCGGGCACACUGGGACUGAGAUACGGCCCAGACUCCUACGGGAGGCAGCAGUGGGGAAUAUUGCACAAUGGGCGCAAGCCUGAUGCAGCGACGCCGCGUGAGGGAUGACGGCCUUCGGGUUGUAAACCUCUUUCAGCACCGACGAAGCGCAAGUGACGGUAGGUGCAGAAGAAGGACCGGCCAACUACGUGCCAGCAGCCGCGGUAA
rnacentral:rRNA from 1 species